GUAGAUUUAGCUUGAUGGUAGAGCACCUUGGAUGUACUGAGAGGUUGCAGGCUCGAGUCUUGCAGUCCACA